rnacentral:rRNA from 1 species
GGCCGUUCUUAGUUCGUGGAGUGAUCUGUCUGCUUAAUUGCGUUUCAAAUAUAUUUUAUUAUAUAACGAGUCUACAAAGGAGUGGUUCAUUAACAGACAAUCAUAUCUUUGAGCGUCUGGAAUCUACUCUAUUUGGCUCAAUUGAACGCAACGGACGUGAUCGCGAGUCCUUGUUGAACUUCAGUAUAUAUUGACUAUCCCCGUAGGAAGGGAUUGGCAAUAAUUGAAUGUUCGCUUUCUAUUAGGUGUGUAUAUAUAGUCUCAAAAUUACAUGUAUUUGUAAUGGCGAGUAAUAUUUAUACUAUCCUGUAGGAAAACUCGGGCGACCGCUGUAAUAUUUCUCUUUAAAACAGAGGAAGAUUGCGGCAAUAACAGGUCUGUGAUGCCCUCAGAUGUCCCGGGCCGCA